UACGGAAGGGGCAAGCGUUGUUCGGAAUCAUUGGGCGUAAAGGGCGCGUAGGUGGUUCUGUAUGUCUACCGUGAAAGCGUACGGCUCAACCGUAUUUUGUCGGUGGAAACUGCAGGACUUGAGGCUGGGAGGGGCUGGUGGAAUUCCCUGUGUAGCGGUGAAAUGCGUAGAGAUGGGGGAGAGCACUCGUGGCGAAGGCGGCCAGCUAGACCAGUUCUGACACUGAGGCGCGACAGCGUGGGGAGCAAACAGG
rnacentral:rRNA from 1 species